GGUUUUACACUUUUGAAAUACAAAAAGAGAGAGAGAAAAACACAUGGGGAGAAUAAAGCGCUCACAAGCUAAAGGCUGAAUAUACCUGGCUCAAAAACUAAUAGCUUCCCAGAUAUCAAGAGAGAACACAAGCAAAGGACACAUGUUUGGGGGUCAGAGGACUUGGGUUCGAAUGUCACUUCUGCCACUGGCCUGCUGUGUCACCUCAGACAAGUCCCUUGACCUCUUGACUCAGGUCCUCACCUCUAGCAAAAUGGAGAUGAUAAAGUGCAAAUGCUCUGGGAAAAGCAUUCUUCAAAUUGAAGAAAUUGGGACAAAGGGAAGAAUAGAGCUGGGAUGAAAAUGAAAAAAGAAGAGAGUUGUAGAAAAAGGAAGACAUCAGUGGAGAAGUCAAGACAGGGGAAAGAAAAUGAACAGGUGAGGAAGAUAGACCUUGAUCUGAAGAAAAUCCCUAAACCUCACGGGGUUUUUUUCAGAACUAAA
rnacentral:lncRNA from 1 species